rnacentral:sRNA from 1 species
GAGAGCAAAUCACAUCCCAGUCAAAAGCACAAAGUCCUUACCAGGGUCCGUUCGUGCCUUCCGUGUGACCACAUUCAACAGCUGCUCCUCACUAGUAAUGUAAUUUGCUAGAUUGUUUACUGUCCACAGAUCGUCACUAGACAUCUGUUAGCAUACUCCCAGAAUCCCUCAGUUCUCCAUUAAAAAAUAUCGCCUGAGUCCUCGCAGCUUCCACCAUUAACUUACAAGCUCUACCGAUAUUUCUGAAACUGAGGUUUUAACAUGGAGUUAGAAGUAACAUCCACAUCAAUCUCUCCUUUAACAGUACUUUGAAAAAAAUGGAACUUAAAGACGGGAAAUGUCAAGGCUAAACAUCCAAGAAACAGCCUACGAGAGACGGCCAGAGAACUGAGGGCCCUUGCCCAUGCUUGCCAAGCACACCAUCACUGUGCUAUAACCUCAGCUGCUUUACUCAGUGUAUUGCCUGUUUAGUGGAGAGACAUAUCAAACCAGACCUGAAAGAUUAUUAAAAUUUUGAGAUAGGAGGAUCAAUCCCAUAGAAAUCACUUAAGAAAGUAAAAAAAAAAGAGAUCUGCACCCUGGAGCUAAGGCUGUGCCACAGCAGUCCAUACCCAAAUCCCACCAAGA